rfam:Enterospora canceri strain GB1 scaffold_15, whole genome shotgun sequence.
GGGGUCAUAGCUCAGUGGUAGAGCGUUUGCUUUGCAAGCAAAGGGUCGCGGGUUCAAUCCCUGCUGGUUCCA